GACGAACGCUGGCGGCGUGCUUAACACAUGCAAGUCGAACGAGAGCGUAGAGACAGCUUGCUUUUUCUACAAUCUAGUGGCAAACGGGUGAGUAACGCGUAAACAACCUGCCCUACGGAUGGGGACAACAGCUGGAAACGGCUGCUAAUACCGAAUACGUUCCGAAAGUCGCAUGACUAUCGGAAGAAAGGAUGGCCUCUAUUUAUAAGCUAUCGCCGGAGGAGGGGUUUGCGUCUGAUUAGCUAGUUGGAGGGGUAACGGCCCACCAAGGCGACGAUCAGUAGCCGGUCUGAUAGGAUGAACGGCCACAUUGGAACUGAGACACGGUCCAGACUCCUACGGGAGGCAGCAGUGGGGAAUCUUCCGCAAUGGGCGAAAGCCUGACGGAGCAACGCCGCGUGAGUGAAGACGGCCUUCGGGUUGUAAAGCUCUGUUAUACGGGACGAAUAAUCUUGUGGUUAAUACCCAUGAGAAGUGACGGUACCGUAAGAGAAAGCCACGGCUAACUACGUG
rnacentral:rRNA from 1 species